UAGCCAUAUCAUGUUGAAACACUCGUUCUCGUACGAUCACUGAAGUUAAGCAAUGUCGAGCCUGCUCAGUACCUAGAUGGGUGACCGCUUGGGAAUAUCAGGUGUUGUAAG
rnacentral:rRNA from 1 species